rnacentral:rRNA from 1 species
AGUGAACGCUGGCGGUAGGCCUAACACAUGCAAGUCGAACGGCAGCACAGUAAGAGCUUGCUCUUACGGGUGGCGAGUGGCGGACGGGUGAGGAAUACAUCGGAAUCUACUUUUUCGUGGGGGAUAACGUAGGGAAACUUACGCUAAUACCGCAUACGACCUACGGGUGAAAGCAGGGGAUCUUCGGACCUUGCGCGAUUGAAUGAGCCGAUGUCGGAUUAGCUAGUUGGCGGGGUAAAGGCCCACCAAGGCGACGAUCCGUAGCUGGUCUGAGAGGAUGAUCAGCCACACUGGAACUGAGACAUGGUCCAGACUCCUACGGGAGGCAGCAGUGGGGAAUAUUGGACAAUGGGCGCAAGCCUGAUCCAGCCAUACCGCGUGGGUGAAGAAGGCCUUCGGGUUGUAAAGCCCUUUUGUUGGGAGAGAAAAGCAGCAGGUUAAUACCCCGCUGUUCUGACGGUACCCAAAGAAUAAGCACCGGCUAACUUCGUG